rnacentral:rRNA from 1 species
AUUGAACGCUGGCGGCAUGCUUUACACAUGCAAGUCGAACGGCAGCACGGACUUCGGUCUGGUGGCGAGUGGCGAACGGGUGAGUAAUACAUCGGAACGUGCCCAGUUGUGGGGAUAACUACUCGAAAGAGUAGCUAAUACCGCAUGAGAACUGAGGUUGAAAGCAGGGGAUCGUAAGACCUUGCGCAACUGGAGCGGCCGAUGGCAGAUUAGGUAGUUGGUGGGAUAAAAGCUUACCAAGCCGACGAUCUGUAGCUGGUCUGAGAGGACGACCGGCCACACUGGGACCGGGAAACGGCCCAGACUCGGACGGGAGGCAGCAGUGGGGAAUUUGGAACAAUGGGCGAAAGCCUGAUCCAGCAAUGUCGCGUGCAGGAUGAAGGCCUGCGGGUUGUAAACUGCUUUUGUACGGAACGAAAAGCUUCGGGCUAAUACCCUGGAGUCAUGACGGUACCGUAAGAAUAAGCACCGGCUAACUACGUGCCAGCCGCCGCCGUAACAC